rnacentral:rRNA from 1 species
AUGCGGAACGCCCUGCGAGGAUCAUCCAUGCAGCCAAUGUCCGAGACGGCGAGCGCGCAGAGCGACGGGGAGCCCGCGGCGGCGGCGCCCGAGGAGGAGGAGGCCGGCGGUGGGGAGGAGAGCGUCAACGUCUUCGUGGCGGUGCCGGAGCAGCACAAGAACGGCCAGCUCACGCUCGCCUGGGCGCUCCGCAACCUUGCCGAACUGGCCCCGGCGGCCGCCGUCGACGUGGUGGUGGUGGUCGCGCACGUCCACGUGCCGCCGCAGGAGAUCCCAGUGAUGGGAAGCAAGUUCCACGCAAGCAAGCUGCGAGAAGACCUGGUGAGUUCUUACAGGAAGAACGAAAGGGCUAAGGUGAACAAACACCUGAAGGAAUACAUCCGCCAGUGCUCCAAAAUGAAGAUCAAGUGUAGGACGCUUGUGAUCGAGAGCGAAGACGUCGUGAAGGGGAUCACGGAGCUCGUUUCACUGCACGGUGCGAGCAAGCUCGUCAUGGGAGCAGCCGCUGACAAGCACUUCCCUAGAAAUCCCAGCAAACUGUUGGUGCCCAGGUCCAAGACGGCACUUGAAGUCAUGCGCCAGGCUCAUCCUUCAUGCAAGAUUUGGUUUGUAUGCAGGGAGCAUCUCAUAAGCAUCAGCGAGGAUGGUACUCUCAGAAGCCCGAUACCAACUCCGGCUAUUGUACCCGCAUGUCGAAGCCCGAUACCAGCUUCAACUAUUGUAUCCGCACGUCGAAACCGAUACGCAAGCAGUAAUAAUGCAGUUGACAGCUUGAUCCAGAGGUCCAUGUCCGAGAAAGUAUCGCCCUUAUGGCUGCCUUGUCGGUCAGCGAUACGACGAACUCUUAGCAUCCUCAGCAUGGAGCACGUCUCUGUGGGCUCCUGGGACAGGAACCCAAGAGAUAGCGUCCCGAGCUCGUGCCGCGAGGAGGCGUCGAGCGAUUCUUCUAGCUCGUUCGAACUGCCUAUAGACGACGUCUUCACGAUCCAUCACAACACUGCACCGUGCCACGAUGAUCAGGCCAAGAAAACUGAGGAUGUGCCCAAGCUGAAGGAGGACAUAGCCAAGGUAAAAGAAGACAUACCACUGUCCAAGGAAGAGAUGGAGGCACUCAAGCGCGAACAUGACGACGCCAUCCGAAAGCUCUCCGAAGCCGAUGAAGCCAAGGCAGAACUGGAGCAGCGAGUCGUUGAUCUCAUGGAGCGAACAUCGCUCCUUGACUCGCAGCUCAGGCUCGCGGAGGAGACGCGCACCACGGGGUCAGGCUUGGAUUUUGCAUGGUGCAGCGAGUUCUCCCUGUCGGAGCUGCGGCAGGCGACUCGGAACUUCAGCGACGACGCCAAGGUCGGCGACGGUGUGUACAGAGGAGUGCUGCGCAACACCACGGUGGCGAUCAAGAUGCUCCACUCUCACAGCUCGUCACAGUUCCAGCAAGAGGUUGGUGUUGUAAGCAGAGUGAGGCACCCAAACCUGGUAACGCUGAUGGGCUGUUGCCCGGAGGCUUCGGCUCUCGUCUUCGAGUUCCUACCGAACGGGAGCCUGGAAGACCGCCUCGCCCGUCGAGACGGCACGCCGCCGCUGGCAUGGCAGGCCCGCACGCGGAUCAUCGGCGAGGUGUGCUCCGCGCUCGUCUUCCUCCACUCGUGCGAACCCUGCCCGGUCAUCCAUGGCGACCUCAACGCGGCCAACAUCCUCCUCGACGCCAACCUUGUCAGCAAGCUCGGUGACUACGGCGCCUCCCGUCUCCCCACCAUGACCGACCCUGGCAGCUCGCCGUACACGGACCCGGAGCUCCUGAUCACCGGGCAGCUGACGGCGGGCUCCGACGUGUACUCCUUCGGCGUCGUCGUGCUCCGGCUGGUCACGGGGCAGCCGGCGCUGGGCAUCGCGAGGAAGGUGGAGGAGGCGCUGGAAAAGGGCGAGAUGGAGGCGCUCGUCGACCGGUCGGCCGGGGAGUGGCCGUUCGCGCAGGCCGAAAAGCUCAUGCUGCUCGGCCUGCAGUGCGCCGAGCUCAGCAGCCGGAGGCGCCCUGCGCGGAUGAGCCAGGUGUGGAGGGUGGUCGAGCCCCUGGCGAAGGCGGCUUCAAUGUCUGUCGCACCAGAGUCUCUUGUGCGUUCGUUCGGUGAGAGCCACAUGCCGUCCUACUUCAUCUGCCCAAUUUCUCAGGAGGUUAUGAGGAAUCCUCACACGGCAGCAGACGGCUACACCUAUGAGGCGGAGGCGAUCAAGGGGUGGCUCGAUAGCGGGCACGAGACGUCCCCGAUGACGAAGAUGCCUCUCGUGCAUCGUCACGUCACCCCGAGCUACGCUCUUCGUUCCGCCAUACAGAAUUAUAUGCAGCAGCGUCAACAAAAGAUGCCACAGUAG